rnacentral:rRNA from 1 species
UACAGAGGUCCCAAGCGUUGUUCGGAUUCACUGGGCGUAAAGGGUGCGUAGGCGGUCGGGUAAGUCUGAUGUGAAAUCUCAGAGCUCAACUCUGAAACUGCAUUGGAUACUAUUCGGCUUGAGGUCUGGAGGGGGGACUGGAAUUCUUGGUGUAGCAGUGAAAUGCGUAGAUAUCAAGAGGAACACCAGUGGCGAAGGCGGGUCUCUGGACAGUUCCUGACGCUGAGGCACGAAGGUCAGGGGAGCAAACGGG